UUAACGGUAGCUAUAGCUAGUAGCUAGUAGUAACUGAUUAUUUAACGGUAGCUAGUAGUAACUGAUUAUUUAACGGUAGCUAGUAGCUAGUAGUAACUGAUUAUUUAACGGUAUCUAGUAGCUAGUAGUAACUGAUUAUUUAACGGUAGCUAGUAGUAACUGAUUAUUUCACAGUAGCUAGUAGUAACUGAUUAUUUAACGGUAGCUAGUAGUAACUGAUUAUUUCACGGUAGCCAGUAGUAACUGAUUAUUUCACGGUAGCUAGUAGCUAGUAGUAACUGAUUAUUUAACGGUAGCUAGUAGUAACUGAUUAUUUAACGGUAGCUAGUAGUAACUGAUUAUUUAAAGGUAGCUAGUAGUAACUUAUUAUUUAACGGUAGCUAGUAGUAACUGAUUAUUUAACGGUAGCUAGUAGAAAUGAGAUGCUAUGAGCUUGUGGCCUUGUUGAACUUUAAACUCCUCCUUACUCCUGUUUAGGGUUUGUGCUUCUGGCCAGAUGAACUUCCUUCCCAAGCUAGACUACUUACAGCCUGGUUUGAUCUGUUUUGUGCAGUCUUGCCAAAUGUGUGUAUAUAUAUAUAUAUAUAUAUAUAUAUAUAUAUUAUAUACAUGCGUUCUAUGCAAUGACCAUAGGAGUUGGCAUAGGAGUUGGCAGGACAGCACAAACAGAUCUGGGACCAGGCUAGACAAUGUAGUCCGCUCCCAACAAAUAAGUGUCUUAACAUCCAACGAAUCAUUCUGAGGUAGAUCCUCAGUAAGCAUCAGAAGAAUUCACAUACCAAGGGGGCUUGUUGUGCCAAUUGUUUUUAGGCUGUAGAUCCUUGGGGAACCACCUCGUCUCCCUGGAUAGAUCCACAUCAUGUCCAAGCGAUGUGUCUCUACUUUAGGCACAAGUGGUCACCCUCUCUUGACUUUUCUCACUGUCAUUCAUGAAGGAUAAUUCUUCCAAGUUUUACCAGUGAGACGUCUUGUCUAUGCAACAUCAGUCUCAUGGGAUGUAUACCUUUUCUAUAGAUCAUAGUUAUGUACUGUUUUUGAAUGGCGCACAGUGAGUGACUUGUAGGGCAGAAGGUGUUCAUAAAUUGUAGCAAAUCUGUUUUUUUUUGUUUGUUUCAAAGCACUUUUUUUUUGUUUAUUAGCCCACUUGAGUUAUGGCCGCAUGAGAGAGAAAUGCAACCAUUUAAACAAUUAUCCUGAAAUCAGGUGUUUGUUUUUUCCUUAACAAAACAUACAGUAACAUACUAUUAUAUUGGUUUCUGUUCUGUAUAAUUAUCAUGUGAUCUUCCAAACUUUGAUUCAGCUUUGAUCUAACUUUUAUGAAACGAUAACCAUUCAGAGUUGCCUGCGGAGACUGUGGAAGUAGAGAAUCCCCGCGUAACCCUGGGAAGAAAAGUCUGAUCCACAGCCACUCUGUUUUUAAAGAGUCCUCAUAUCAUGGCCAAAUUUAACAAGAUAUCUAGAAUGACAUGGACAUGUUUUUAAACAGUUUGAUGAACGCUAGUCUGUUGAGUCAUAUUUUGAAACA